UUACGACCAUAACACGUUGAAACACCGGUACCGUACGAUUACCAAAGUUAAGCAACGUCGAGCGUCGUCACUACUUAGAUGGGUGACCGCUUAGGAGUAUCAGGUGCUGUAG